rnacentral:lncRNA from 1 species
CACAAUUCUAGAUCAUAUGAGCUCUAAACUUAACAUAUACAGUUAUUUCCAAAUGUCCCUCAAUAUGCUCAUAUAUAUUUUCAGUUCAGAAUCUUCAGAUGUUCAACUCCAACUCUGACCAACUCAAAACCAAUCGAAAACAUAAAUGUCAAAUGCUCAAAUAAAAUGGUUUAGUGACAGAAGUGAGUUCAGGGAAACAUAAAGGCUGGAAAAAUCAUUAUGCAUCUUCCUUCCUCGAUUCUGCAUCUGUUGUAAUCGGACCAAGUUGAAACCAAUUAAAAACUCGAGAAACGAAG